rnacentral:rRNA from 1 species
AGAGUUUGAUCAUGGCUCAGGACGAACGCUGGCGGCACGCUUAACACAUGCAAGUCGAACGAGAGAAGAGGAGCUUGCUUUUCUGAUCUAGUGGCGGACGGGUGAGUAACACGUGAGCAAUCUGCCUUUCAGAGGGGGAUACCGAUUGGAAACGAUCGUUAAUACCGCAUAACAUAAUUGAACCGCAUGAUUUGAUUAUCCAAGAUUUAUCGCUGAAAGAUGAGCUCGCGUCUGAUUAGCUAGUUGGUAAGGUAACGGCUUACCAAGGCGACGAUCAGUAGCCGGACUGAGAGGUUGAUCGGCCACAUUGGGACUGAGACACGGCCCAGACUCCUACGGGAGGCAGCAGUGGGGAAUAUUGCACAAUGGAGGAAACUCUGAUGCAGCGAUGCCGCGUGAGGGAAGAAGGUUUUAGGAUUGUAAACCUCUGUCUUCAGGGACGAAAAAAGACGGUACCUGAGGAGGAAGCUCCGGCUAACUACGUGCCAGCAGCCGCGGUAAUACGUAGGGAGCGAGCGUUGUCCGGGAUUACUGGGUGUAAAGGGAGCGUAGGCGGGAUCGCAAGUCAGAUGUGAAAACUAUGGGCUUAACCCAUAAACUGCAUUUGAAACUGUGGUUCUUGAGUGAAGUAGAGGUAAGCGGAAUUCCUAGUGUAGCGGUGAAAUGCGUAGAUAUUAGGAGGAACAUCAGUGGCGAAGGCGGCUUACUGGGCUUUAACUGACGCUGAGGCUCGAAAGCGUGGGGAGCAAACAGGAUUAGAUACCCUGGUAGUCCACGCCGUAAACGAUGAUUACUAGGUGUGGGGGGACUGACCCCUUCCGUGCCGCAGCAAACGCAAUAAGUAAUCCACCUGGGGAGUACGACCGCAAGGUUGAAACUCAAAGGAAUUGACGGGGGCCCGCACAAGCAGUGGAGUAUGUGGAUUAAUUCGAAGCAACGCGAAGAACCUUACCAGGUCUUGACAUCGUAUGCAUAGCUCAGAGAUGAGUGAAAUCUCUUCGGAGACAUAUAGACAGGUGGUGCAUGGUUGUCGUCAGCUCGUGUCGUGAGAUGUUGGGUUAAGUCCCGCAACGAGCGCAACCCUUACUGUUAGUUGCUACGCAAGAGCACUCUAGCAGGACUGCCGUUGACAAAACGGAGGAAGGUGGGGAUGACGUCAAAUCAUCAUGCCCCUUAUGACCUGGGCCUCACACGUACUACAAUGGCUGUCAACAGAGGGAAGCAAAGCCGCGAGGUGGAGCGAACCCCUAAAAGCAGUCUUAGUUCGGAUUGUAGGCUGCAACCCGCCUACAUGAAGUCGGAAUUGCUAGUAAUCGCAGAUCAGCAUGCUGCGGUGAAUACGUUCCCGGGCCUUGUACACACCGCCCGUCACGCCAUGGGAGUCGGUAACACCCGAAGCCUGUAGUCUAACCGCAAGGAGGACGCAGUCGAAGGUGGGAUUGAUGACUGGGGUGAAGUCGUAACAAGGUA